GCGACACCUAUAUGUCGCCACCAUUUUCUAUGUAAUGGCGGCGACUGAUAAAUAUCGCCACCAUUUUUUAUGUAUUGGCGGCGACAAAUAAUUGUCGCCACCAUUUUUUAUGCAAUGGCGGCGACAAAUAAAUGUCGCCACCAUUUUCUAUGCAAUGGCGGCGACAAAUAAUUGUCGUCGCCAUUUUCUAUGUAUUGGCGGCGACAAUGCCUAUCGCCACAAAAAAGUCGCCACUAAAACCUACUUUUGUUGUAGUGGUAGUUAUGAUAAUUUUAUUUUUUUGAAGAGGUAUUUAUGAUAUUUUAAAGUUUAGAGGAGUAUUCACGAAAUUUACAAGUUUGAUAAUAUUACUGAUGAAAUUGCCCUUUUCUUUAUAACAAUAAUUGCAUAUAAUUUAGGAUAAACUUCAAAUACCAAUAUCCUGUAGUUUCGCACUUUUUCACUUUUUUAUUAUGUAGUUUAAAAAGGAUCACUUUAGUACCCUAUGGUUUUACUUUUCUUCUUUCGUCAGCACUUUCAUUAACUCUCCAUUAAAUUAUAUACAAAAAACUUCAGAUAUCCCACCUACGGUUUAUUGAAUAGUCACUUUAUUAUCCUGUGAUUUACUAAAUUUAAUAGGAAAAUUAAUGAAGGGAUAACGGAAAGAAAAAUUUAUUAAAUUUAUUAAAAUUAAUAAUGAAAUGAAUAUAAAAACUCAAAUAAAAAAAUAGAGGUUAAAGGGGUGU
rnacentral:lncRNA from 1 species